rnacentral:rRNA from 1 species
UACGAGAGGCCCAAACGUUAUUCGGAUUUACUGGGCUUAAAGAGUUUGUAGGCGGUUCGGUAAGUGAGAUGUGAAAGCCCUCGGCUCAACCGAGGAAUUGCGUUUCAAACUGCCGGGCUCGAGGGAGAUAGAGGUGAGCGGAACUGAUGGUGGAGCGGUGAAAUGCGUUGAUAUCGGAAGGAACGCCGGUGGCGAAAGCGACGGACUGGAUCUCUUCUGACGCUGAGGCGCGAAAGCCAGGGGAGCAAACGGG